CUCACACCGUCAUGUUAAACCGUUCUGUAGGACAUGCAGCCCGCUUAUUAGCAUUUUCACCAUACCUUCUCUCUAGUUCUUCUCUGCUUCCUAAUUUCUCUCACUCUCCCCGACCUAGUAGCAUGGAGGAGCGCCGUCGCCGCCCAUCGCCUUGGCACCCGAGCUCCAAAAAAUGCCGUCUUAAACCCGCCCUCGCCCGGAUCUGGCAAGAACUGAGCCGGUGCCGCCUUCCACACCUCAUAUCCGUGUUCCCCGCUCCAAUCCGAGCCUAGAUCCGGCAAACACCUGGAUGGGCGGCGCCCUUGCCACAAGCUCCGCCCCGACCCUCUCAGCGGUGUAGUGCGCCUCAAAGUCGAGCUCUGCGGCAUCGCCCCCACACAGCACGGCCACCACGACAACAAAGGGGGCUGGCUCGAGGACGAUCUUCUCCGUUG
rnacentral:lncRNA from 1 species